CUCUCAUCUACAGUACCAAUGUAAGAACAUAAACUUUUCCAGGGAGCAAAAGCUGAUGAGAAAUCAACCUACCAAAAAGAAAGAGAGGCUGGCAGCCACCAAAAUCUAAGGAGCCAUUUUAGAGAGCUGAAGCAGAAAUAAGAGGCUGCACGUGGAUGGUCCUGUCAUUGAGCUGCUUUGCCCCACUCCUGCUCAUUGGAGCCCAGAGUGAAAUUCAGUGGAAGUUCAGAGAAGCUGAGAUGCACUCAGAACCACUCUGCUGGUCCCAAGGCAGGCAGAAAAUAGGCAGCAAAAAACAGCCCAGGACCUAGAGGGUCUAGGCCUCUCUUGCCUCCUUGCUGGACUCACAGAAGGACCACAUGGACCUGGAGCUGACAUCUCAUCAUGGAAGCUCACAGAAGGCCUGGACUUUUGAACCCAAGAGCAAAGGUCAAUUUUUCCCACUAAA